rnacentral:lncRNA from 1 species
CCUUUGAUCAUAAAUAUCAUUUCUAGAAUCCCAUAACCUCUUUUGUAUAGUAGUGGGGACCUCUAGGAGCCAGCAUCAAGCAUGUGCUUCAGAUUUAUCUCAACCAAGGGGCAAACGAGCUCAUGUGCCUAUCUGCUAAUUCUCUCAGGGACUGGUCAAAGGCUGCUCCCAGAAGCAUUAAUUCCUCAGGACAUUCAGCCUGUAGCACCUGUGGACAGAACAGAUGUCAGCACCAGACAAAGUACUCAAGUAAAGGGAUGCAGGUUGGAAGAGAGGGACACUCACUGAACUGUUACAGAUCUCAGAGCAACAGUGACUCUGACUCAAAACAAAGCAAACAUCCACCACAGUUAAAUCAAAUCCUUAUUUCUUUGUGACUUCUCCUUUUACUAUUUA